AUUGAACGCUGGCGGCAGGCCUAACACAUGCAAGUCGAGCGGCAGCGGAAAGUAGCUUGCUACUUUGCCGGCGAGCGGCGGACGGGUGAGUAAUGUCUGGGAAACUGCCUGAUGGAGGGGGAUAACUACUGGAAACGGUAGCUAAUACCGCAUGACCUCGAAAGAGCAAAGUGGGGGAUCUUCGGACCUCACGCCAUCGGAUGUGCCCAGAUGGGAUUAGCUAGUAGGUGAGGUAAUGGCUCACCUAGGCGACGAUCCCUAGCUGGUCUGAGAGGAUGACCAGCCACACUGGAACUGAGACACGGUCCAGACUCCUACGGGAGGCAGCAGUGGGGAAUAUUGCACAAUGGGCGCAAGCCUGAUGCAGCCAUGCCGCGUGUGUGAAGAAGGCCUUAGGGUUGUAAAGCACUUUCAGCGAGGAGGAAGGCAUCAUACUUAAUACGUGUGGUGAUUGACGUUACUCGCAGAAGAAGCACCGGCUAACUCCGUGCCAGCAGCCGCGGUAAUACGGAGGGUGCAAGCGUUAAUCGGAAUUACUGGGCGUAAAGCGCACGCAGGCGGUUUGUUAAGUCAGAUGUGAAAUCCCCCGCGCUUAACGUGGGAACUGCAUUUGAAACUGGCAAGCUAGAGUCUUGUAGAGGGGGGUAGAAUUCCAGGUGUAGCGGUGAAAUGCGUAGAGAUCUGGAGGAAUACCGGUGGCGAAGGCGGCCCCCCUGGACAAGACUGACGCUCGGUGCGAAAGCGUGGGGAGCAAACACG
rnacentral:rRNA from 1 species